UGGCAGCACAUAUACUAAAAUUGGAUCGAUACAGAGAAGAUUAGCAUGGCCCCUGCGAAAGGAUGACACGCAAAUCCGGGAAGCGCUCCUUAUUUUC
rnacentral:snRNA from 8 species